GGAAGACUUGUCCCCUUUUUCUGCAAAAAGGUUGCCAUGGAGACGUAGGCUGACGGCGUCCUAGCGAGAGCGGUGAUUGGUGCAGAACCCUGCUAAUCCCUGGAACGCCCAUAAAGAAUUGAGGAAAACGUGGUGGGGGGCAUGCGCGGUUGGGAAGGCGGCGCUGCCGUCCGUUGCCCCCUGAGAAGCUUGCGCACGUCGGCGGGGCAUGGACGCCUGGAUCUGAGGCGGGGAGCGCGGGAAGAGGCGGCCUGGCGUGUGAUCUGAUCGUUGGAACGACGCUACCCCGGGGGGACCGGGUGGAGGGUGGAAAAGGAGGCGAGGGUGGGGGAAGGGCAAGGUGGCACUCGGGCUGAUGCGUGGAGCAUUCUGGGAGACAUGGUCCGUCCGGGGAGGGGGCCGUCGGCGAGUGCGCAUGCGUAGGAGCGCGGAGCGGCCCGCUGAGCGUGGAGAGUUGCAGGUUGGCUUGGAACCUUGAGGAACGGAAGUUUGACCCACGGGAUCCGGCGGCCCUGGAAAUCGAAAUCUACUCACUUAAUAAACUCAGAUUUCUUCACAAAGCCCGCACAUUACUCCCAGCUGCAAAGGGAGCAGCAAUGGCGGGGGAAGGAGGGCAUCCCCACUUAUGGGGGACGGUAAAGACGGGGAAACUGAGGUUCACAGAAACUUGCCAGGGUUACGUAGCAAAUAGGCAAGAUCAGAAUCUCCGACCUUGCUUGCAGGCACCUGGUCCAGUUGUCUUGGGGCCUUUGUGGGCCUCCUGGAAGCUCCCAUCACCUCCUACCCCUGCCUAAAUCAGGAAGCUGAAGAGAUGGUGGGGCAUUACAUGGUGUGACAAGCUGGGCCCGUUCAGAGGAUGGGGCUGAAUGGGGGGAGGGGGAAAUGCUGCCUGAAGGCUUGGCCACAGAGUUGACCUUGCCCAUCUGUGGGGGUGGGGAACAGGUGGAGGGAGGCUGUCCUGUGGAACCGAGCUGAGAAGGUGAUGGUCUGAGAGACGAGAUGGGACAGUGGGUGGUGCAAUGAUGGGCUGGUGUUCUGGGGGGUGUGGGGGGGGCGUGCUGUAGUGGUGCUUAUGCCCACACGGUGAACAUUGCAAAUGUCAUUUACCUGGCAGUGGGAGAGCCACAGGGCAGGGAUGGGAUGGUGCAUGUAGAAGAGCAGGAUUUAGGGGAGGAAUACCUUCUAUGCCUAAGAUGCACCCUGUGUUUGGAACAGGGGAAUGCCAGAGACUAUGUGUAGGUCCCAGCUAGAGACCAGAGACACAAGUGCCUGGCAUGUGACCACCUCUCUGUGCCUCAGUUUUCUUAUCUCCCUUCCGCUCAGUGCAGGUCUGAAGAUGGAACAACGAACCAUACAGUAGACGCUCAAUAAGCAUUUGCUGCCACGGUCUGUCCUCGCAGUAGCCUCAUCCUAUUCCUCUCCUAGGGGAAGACAUUAUCCUCGGA
rnacentral:lncRNA from 1 species